rnacentral:lncRNA from 1 species
AAUAUACCUGCCUCGCGGAUGUGUCUUCGACCAGAAGUAAGCAGUGACGAGCUGUAUUGGAUAUUUAAAGCGGUAUCACUGAAGCCGCAGCAAUACCCUGAAAAGCUAUCAUCGUUCUACACUGUAAAGGCAAAAAGGAGAGAAGGAGUACAUGUGGGUAUGAGCUGUAAACUACUGAUUUUGUUUUGUAUUUGGUAACCACAACGUCGUCUAGAGAACCAAUGAAUGAAUCUUACCGAGGAAUAAAUCAAGAAAACAAGUUUCAUAAAGAUCAAAACUUGAGGAACAUUCUGACACAUUUUAGGCGCAUAUUACUAUGGAAACACUCGAAAACAAUGGUGUUAAAACUUUAGAUGAAUUAAAUUAUGAGGAGAGGGUACGAGACAUUCCACUGUUGACAUUUCUGUUCAUACUCUGUUUUACUGGGAUUGUUGGAAAUGUUUUGGUGCUUUAUAUAUUCAUAUAAACGUAUGCACUUUCUACAUUUCGUAUGUUUGUAAUAUUUCUUUCUGCAGUAGAUCUAAUCUCAUGUACUGUUGCUAUUCCACUGGAGAUAGUAACACUGUUGCUUGACUACAAGAACGAUAUUGUUUGGCUUUGCAAAUUGUAUCCCUUUUUACUAUCAUGGCCUACGAUCACAUCCAUAUUUUUGUUGCUUGCAAUUGCUAGUGACAGAUACCGGAAAGUAUGUACUCCAUUUUCUUGGCAAGUUUCAUGUAGAGCAGCGAGAAAUAUUUUUGUUGUCGCUGUGUCUUUGGGCAGCUUAUGUUCCGCCAUGCGUCCUGUUAUGUUUGGUGUUCGAACAACUACACAUUUAUUUUAUAAUUUAACAAUAUAUGAAUGUGAGGUAACAGAACCUACUGGCUAAAACUCCAUUACCAUUGCUAAGCAAUCUCAUCUUUUCGCUUAUAUUCACUGGAGCAUUAAUUGGAAUUAUUACUUUGUAUUGCUGUAUAGCAGUUCGUGUUCGACAGCAGAUUAAACGGAAGCAUCAAAUGCGUAGCAGCAUAGCAAACAACAAAGUCAGUGUAUCUAACAAACUUGAGGAAACACAAGACGACCACUAAAAGCGGACUGGAUAGUGAAACGCCGGUGUUGGAAUGUGGUUCCAGUGACAAAGGCGGAGGGAAGAAGCUCGAAAUAUCAGAAAAAGAUGUAAAUCUCAAGGACACGAAACCGACAACAAAAUUUAAUGUGUUAAAAAAGAAGCCGCAAACAAGUAGUAACAGAGCAACAGUUGGUAAUGGUUCUAGUGUCCUCAGUGUUUUUCAUCUCGUUUUUACCAUCUGUUUCCUUGCUUCUUGCCCGAGCUCUUGACAAAGGUUUCUCGGGGACAUUAACUAAUUUCGACAGAUCGGUAUACAAAUUUGUUUUUAGGGCAUAUCUGCUUAAUUGCGUGAUCAAUCCUAUUAUAUAUGGCAUUUUUGAUCCUCAUUUUAGGAAGUCUUGUAAAAUGAUUUGCUCUUGUCGGCUCAUGUGACAUACAUGUAUCCACGUUUCAGAAAUUCGUGUUUCAAUAGCAUUCAAAGAAAGAUUGAUGAAAGAGAUAGUUGUUGAAGUCAAAGUGUUUUGGCUUUUCAUUAUGGACUUUCGUCUCUAUUGUUUCUGCUAUUUAUGAAGAAAAUUGAUAGAACAUUUGUUAUUUUGCAAAACGUUUCAGUCAAUUGGAAAUUUUGGGUGGACUUGUUGAAAAUAUUUUUAUAUGUGAUAAAUCAAGUGGAUGGACUAGUUUAUGUCCAUUGCGAUAUUGU